rnacentral:ncRNA from 1 species
GACCCGAAAGAUGGUGAACUAUGCCUGAGCGAGGCGAAGCCAGAGGAAACUCUGGUGGAGGCCCGAAGCGAUACUGACGUGCAAAUCGUUCGUCUGACUUGAGUAUAGGGGCGAAAGACUAAUCGAACCAUCUAGUAGCUGG